rnacentral:lncRNA from 1 species
UUAGAGCAAUCAGCUCUUCAAGCAGAACUGGAGAAAGAAAGGCAGUCCCUCAAGAAUGCCCUCGGAAAAGCCCAGUUCUCAGAAGAAAAGGAGCAGGAGAACAUUGAACUCCACACAAAACUUAAAGAGCUACAGGAUGACAAUAACUUGUUAAAACAACAACUAAAAGAUUUCCAGAAUCACCUUAACCAUGUAGUUGAUGGCUUGAUUCAUCCAGAGGAAGUGGCAGCUCGUGUGGAUGAGCUAAGGAGAAAACUGCAGUUAGGAGCUGGGGAAAUAAGGUAAGGAAAAAUCUGGACCUCCUAAUAUGGAGUAUGCUUCACAGCCUCAGAGUUGUGAGUGUGAGGUUCGGUGAACUCAUCUUCCUAAGUCCUGUUAAUGGCUGAUUUCUUUUGCUGGGUUCUCCUUAUGAUGUUCUCAAGAUGGAGACAUUCAACUUCAUUUAAUGGUAAUUUUCACUGAUUUUUUUUUUUACAUUUUAGGUCUUUCAUAUUUUUUGAUAAUGUUUAAUUAAAAACAUAAAGGUAUUUAAGAGUCUUACUUGCAAGUUCAUUGUAUAUGGUCAGGAAGUAUUAUGGAUUUUAAACAGAAACAACUAUCAGUAGAAAACAGGAUUAUUACAAAUAUAUGAAUAUUCUUUGCCUGACAUGGGCCUGUGUUUUCAGGCUCAUGAUAAAGUUAUCACUUGAUAAAAUUAUCAUUUGCAUAUAGGAGGUACUCAGUAAGUUGCUGGAAAUUGACACUACUCCCUUUGCAUAGUUUUUUUUUGUUUUGUUUUUAAUCUUGCACUAAUGUUAGCAGCAUAUUUAUAUCCAGCAUCAAAAAUAAAAUGUCACAUAUAUAUAGUAUUUUCUCCUUUCCAGAAUCCAUAGCCCUUCAGAUGUCUUAGGAAAAAGUCUUGCCGAUUUACAGAAACAAUUCAGCGAAAUCCUUGCACAGUUGCAGUGGGAAAAAGAGGAAGCACAAGUUAGAGAGAGAAAACUCCAGGAAGAAAUGGCUCUGCAACAAGAGAAACUGGCAAAUGGACAAGAGGAGUUCAGGCAGGCCUGUGAAAGAGCCCUUGAAGCAAGAAUUAAUUUUGAUAAGAAGCAACAUGAUGCAAGAAUCCAGCAGUUGGAGAAUGAAAUUCACUAUUUGCAAGAGAAUCUAAAAAGUAUGGAAGAGAUUCAAGGCCUUACGGAUUUCCAGCUCCAGGAAGCUGAUGAAGAGAAGGAGAGAAUUCUAGACCAACUGCAAGAGUUAGAGAAAAAGAAGAACCAUGAAGAUGCCAGAUCUCAGGAGCAGUUUCUUAGUCUGGAUAAAGAACUGAAGAAUCUGAAGAAAGCUGUGGCUGCCUCUGAUAAACUAGCUACCACCAAGCUCACCAUUGCCAAAGACCAGCUCAAGUCCCUUCACGGAACUGUUAGGAAAAUUAACCAGGAGAGAGCAGAGGAGUUGAAGGAAGCGGAGAGAUUCAGCAGAAAGGCAGCACAAGCAGCCAGGGACCUGACUCGGGCAGAAGCGGAGAUUGAGUUGCUGCAGAAUCUUCUCAGGGAGAGAGAGGAGCAGCUUCAAGUGGAGGUGGAGAAGGCAGAUGUCAGUACUGGAGGAGCAAACUCAAGGGUGCUAGAAUUGGAGAGUCUGAAAGAGAUAAUGGAGAGGCAAAGGGCAGAGAUCACAAGGCUGCGGAGUUUACUAGACUUCACUGGCGCUGAUAACAGAGGCUUUGAAAAUGUUUUAGAAGAAAUUGCUAAACUUCAACAUGAAGUUUCUUUUCAGAAUGAUUACAUCAGCAGCCUAGCAGACCCUUUCAAAAGACGAGGCUAUUGGUACUUCAUGCCACCACCACCACCAUCGUCAAAAGUUUCCAGCCAUAGUUCCCAGGCCACCAAGGACUCUGGUUUGGGCCUGAAAUACACAGCCUCCACUCCUGUUAGAAAACCAUGGCCUGCACAACAUGAGGGGAAGGAUGGCAGCAGACCUCCGCCUGCCUCAGGACACUGGGUCUAUUCACCCAUCAGGAGUGGGUUACAUAAAUCAUUUUCUAACAGACAUGCAGACAGUGAAGGAGAUAGCCAGGAAGAAACUGGGUUGGAUGACCGAGAGGAAUCCCCGUUUGUGCCUCCUCCUGGAUACAUGAUGUACACCGUGUUUCCUGAUGGUUCUCCUAUACCCCAGGGCAUGGCCUUGUAUGCACCGCCUCCUCCCUUGCCCAACAACAGUGGACCUCUUGCCCCUGGCACUGUCAUUUAUGGCCCACCACCUGCUGGGGCCCCCAUUGUGUAUGGGCCUCCACCUCCCAAUUUCUCUGUCCCGCUCAUCCCUAUGGGUGUGCUGCAUUGCAACGUCCCUGAACACCAUAACUUGGAGAAUGAAGUUUCUCAAUUAGAAGACAUAAUACAACAUUUAAAAUCAAAGCAACAGGAAGAACAGCGGGUGAGAACAUCCAAGCGGCAGUGUGAAAAAGAAAUGGAAGAAUUGCAUCAUAAUACUGAUAGUCUUUUGCAAGAGAAGCAAGAAUUAGAACAUGAAGUAGAAGAAUUACAUAGAACCAUCCAGAAGCAUCAACAGCGAAAGGACUUCCUUGAUGGAAAUGUUGAGAGUCUUAUGACUGAACUAGAAAUAGAAAAAUCCCUCAAACACCAUGAAGAUAUUGUAGAUGAAAUUGAGUGUAUAGAAAAGACCCUUCUGAAACGUCGCUCAGAGCUCAGGGAAGCUGACCGACUCCUGGCAGAGGCUGAGUGUGAACUUUCAUGCACAAAAGAGAAGACAAAAAGUGCUGUUGAAAAGUUCACUGAUGCCAAGAGAAGUUUAUUGCAAACCCAGGCCGAUGCUGAGGAGUUGGAAAAGAGAGCUCAAGAAACUGCUGUUAACCUUGUGAAAGCUGAUCAGCAGCUGAGGUAG